AAAAAAGCAAACCGUAGAUUCCCGUGCCAAUGUUUGACUGUCUGUUUUAUAUGAAAUUUGUUCAUAAUUACUAUUUUCAUUGUUGUUAGAUGAUAAAACAUGAUUAAUAUUUUAUACGUGACUUAUCUUUUUAAUUUUUUUUAUAAAAUUUUUAAAUAAGACGGACAGUCAAAUGUUGGACACGGAAAACAGGGUUUGUCUUUUU
rfam:Oryza glaberrima chromosome 12 Oglab12_0177_12, whole genome shotgun sequence.